AAACGUUUUCCUGGGAAGUACAACCGGAUACCCUCUGCUCUCGCGUGACUUUUUAGUUUUCUUGGUAAUGAAAAGAUCUUGAGGCUUUCCUUAGCUCUCCAGAAAUACCCAACUUUUCUCAAAAAUUUCAAUUUUUCAGUUUCUCCACCUUGACAGGGUUAACCCCAGAAAAACAAGUUUCGGUCUCCCUUGGGGAAAUGCUUUUUCAAAAGAAAAAAUAAUUUGGGUCUAAUCAUCCGUGUGUUCAUGAUCUUAUUGAAUUUCGAUUCUUGACGGUAGAUGAUCGUCGUGGUGUAUAAGGUAAAUUGUUGAAACCCUAAUAUCUUCUGAAUUUCGGAUACAAAAACUACAAUUCACAAAAGAGAAACCAAUUGAAUCUCUCUUACAAAUUCAAAAGAAGAAGAGAAAACCCUAAUUUACUGAUGGCUAGAAUAACAAGGAAUGACUUACUCAAGAAUCAAGGUUCUUAUUAGAUUUUGUAAUGAGUUUUUUUCAAAAAUCUUCAUUAUUCAGAGACAACAUGCAUGGAGAAAGUUAAUAAAAAGGAAUCAUAUUUUUCUCCUCUGUUUUUCAAGCUCAAGGUAUUUUGGAUUGUGCACAUGGGUGUAACUUUUAGAUUUUUAAUACAUUUCCAAAAUAUAAUGGAUUUCAUGUUUGUUUAUGUGCAUAAAAAGAGCUUAACUGAUUAAGUAUGUGGCAACCAAAACCAGAAGCUUCGAGAAGUCAAAGUUUAUACAACGUAUAUAGUUUCACAAGGGGUAAACGGGUAUGGCAGUGCAUUAAAAGGUAUCAUAAACAUAAUUGUGAGGUACCGAUAGCUAUGGUAGUGGGUGAUGAGAUGUUGACGGAAGGGUUCAAAGGAUAGUGUUCUGUGUGUGUUUUUGUGAUGGUGCACUGUGAUGAUAGAUUGAGUGCGUAGUUGUGGCAUUUGGGUAGUGAAUAGAAAAUAAAAAAUGUUCUGAAACUUGGCCAUUGGCUUCAACCAGGUUUAAAACUUUGACUUUUAGAGUUUGUAAAAAUGGAUGCUAUGAUUAUACAUAUAACGAGAUCUGCAUGAGAUUUUUUCCAUAUGGAUGUUUUAUUGCAAUGAUUUAACAUUAUGCAACAAAAUCCUAAUUAGGGGUUUCCUCUAUUGAUGUCCUCGAAUGGCUUUAUGCUUUAUUGUUAUGGUUCUUUUUUUUUCCCCGGAUGGUAAUGGCAGUAAAAGCUACUUAGUCCGAUUCGAAUUUGCACCCUUUAUUGUUUUUCGUUUUAGUGUGUACAUGUGCUCGCAACAGGUUGGUGAACAUUUCUUAUUGAAAUCUACUGAUUCAUUUGGAGCUCUUAACUUUAUAGUACUAAGAAUAUGCUUACUGUUAGAAAAUUAGAAGUCAUUUCUAUACUUUAUGCCAUAAUCUGAUAAUCAGGUAAAGCUAUGGAUCUUGAUUGCAGAGACAUUUGAUGGGUCAAUUGAGAAGGUGCAAUCACAAAGCGCAUGAACACUAUAAGUAUUCAACAGUCUAAUUAAUCAACGAGAAAGUGAUGCUAAUCCAGCUACUUAGCUAGAUAAGUGCAACAUAGAGGAAUUCAUUCGAGGUGGCGGGUGCACCAGAGAGACACCAAUGACAACAAUCUGGGUAGACAUGCAUUAAUUUGAUUCAUAUGGUGGUCAUAACAUGAUAGAAUUGUGAAGUUACAACACCUCAACAAAUCUGGUGACCUUAAUGCAAGAGGGUGCACUCUUGGUCAAGCCAUGACUUCCCCCCAGAUCAAGGAAUGAUAGAGAAAGGAUGUACUUGAGGAUGUUACUUGAGAAUUGGUUCAAGGACCAGUCAAAUGGUUGCAUUAGUACGUACUUGCAAGAAGCUUCUUUGUUGAUGAAUUAAAAUUGUAACUGUCGUCCUUGAAAGCGUAUAAAAUGACCGCAGUCCACAACCUUUGUGUUGCCUGAAAGGUUUCUGGGAAAGAUAAAUGUAUCUGCCCAUUAACAUCUUUUAUGAUUAGAGACUACUCCCAAGUUAAUGGAGUUGUCGAAUAACAAAUGUCCCAACAAUUCUCAGAAAAUUAAAAUAAAUCCUUACGUGAUU